rnacentral:rRNA from 1 species
UGGGGAAUAUUGCACAAUGGGCGCAAGCCUGAUGCAGCCAUGCCGCGUGUGUGAAGAAGGCCUUCGGGUUGUAAAGCACUUUCAGCGAGGAGGAAGGUGGUGGACUUAAUACGUUCAUCAAUUGACGUUACUCGCAGAAGAAGCACCGGCUAACUCCGUGCCAGCAGCCGCGGUAAUACGGAGGGUGCAAGCGUUAAUCGGAAUUACUGGGCGUAAAGCGCACGCAGGCGGUUUGUUAAGUCAGAUGUGAAAUCCCCGGGCUCAACCUGGGAACUGCAUUUGAAACUGGCAAGCUAGAGUCUCGUAGAGGGGGGUAGAAUUCCAGGUGUAGCGGUGAAAUGCGUAGAGAUCUGGAGGAAUACCGGUGGCGAAGGCGGCCCCCCUGGACGAAGACUGACGCUCAGGUGCGAAAGCGUGGGGAGCAAAACAGGAUUAGAUACCCCUGGUAGUCCACGCUGUAAAACGAUGUCGA